rnacentral:rRNA from 1 species
CGUAGGGUGCAAGCGUUAAUCGGAAUUACUGGGCGUAAAGCGUGCGCAGGCGGUUUUGUAAGACAGGCGUGAAAUCCCCGGGCUUAACCUGGGAAUUGCGCUUGUGACUGCAAGGCUGGAGUGCGGCAGAGGGGGAUGGAAUUCCGCGUGUAGCAGUGAAAUGCGUAGAUAUGCGGAGGAACACCGAUGGCGAAGGCAAUCCCCUGGGCCUGCACUGACGCUCAUGCACGAAAGCGUGGGGAGCAAACAGGA